rnacentral:tRNA from 1 species
CAGAAAGUAGUUUAGUUUAAAAAUGCCAGCUUUGGGAGUUGGAGAUAAAGGUGUGAUUCCUUUCUUUUUGA